UUUUUGACCUGCUAUAAAAGAUACAAACAGUUUUACAGAAUGCCCCGUGCAACAGGGAUAUAAAUAAAUUAAUUUUGUAUGUCUCUAUUAUGAAACAAUAAAGUAUGUGAUGGUUCUGAAAAAAAAAGUACAAGACAGCAUCUCUCCUUAAUUAUCAUCUCCUGCCCUGGAGUAUCUUCUACCAUUACUACUUUUCCCAGAUUCAUCCAGUAAGAGGAAAACUCUGUCCUGCUAGGAUGACAAAAGUCUCAUAACAAAAACAUCUUUAUUAAACUCCAGGGCAGAGGUAGAGUGCCUCCCUGUAAAAAUGAAAUACUGAUUAAGCAAACUGUCAACAAGCUGAUUACAUAACAGAACAGAUUAUCCACAAAAGAGCAGAAAAUCUUGCAUUCUUGUACUUUUGCUCAGGCUUUCCCACAUAUCCGUCUGCACAGCACAUUCAUUACAAACCCACUGAAAACCAGCAAAUCUGUAUUAACUGAACAUGAAGCCAGCACUGCAAAAUUCAAAAGGUGCAAAACCAAGGCCGAAAACUCAACCCUGCUUCUCUGGAUGGGCACAUCACAAGGCAAAAUGACCACAUGAGAAUACAUUAAAACAAAGAGCAGUGAGCCAGUCACACAUCUCCUUUCUUGGUUCUGUAGAAUCAUUGAACAGCUCCCACUCAGGUCCAAUUCAUCUUAUCUGCACUCGACAGUAAGGAACCACAGAUGUCCAUCAAUUCCUGUCAUUCUGCCAUGCCUCAGUAACAAUGGACAAAGGAGUUAAUCUCUUCUCACUUUCUAGCUUCUCACACAGGUGUACAGACAAUGGCAGUCAUUUUCUUUUAGAUUCUAGUCUGACACACUCAUUUUACGUUUGUGCUCUGACAUUUUUACUCCAGGAUCUCCAUCUGUUCCUCCUCUUCAUUACUAGGCUAAAAAGCAUCUCUGUUUUAUUAAUGUAUCUGUCUGACCUAAAUUUUCCCCAACACCUGUCUGCCUUUCUCAGAUCCAAAUCUAAAGAACUCCCAAUUACAGUUUUCUCUGUGAAAAGUUGCACUCUGGAUAAAUGACAAGUCACCCAAAUUUGACAGGCAACAGAGAGAAGCAAAAUCUUACACAUCUGCCAUUUAAAAUAAAUGUAAUUCUACUUUUUCAAAAUUAGAAAUAUGUUUGAUGAACACAUUUUUAUUUCUUCCACUGUUCAUCUCCUCAACCCCAAACAGCAUUUUAAAAUACUUGAUUAAGAAAAAACUAUAGAGGUCAUCAGAAAAUAGGCAGGGUGACUUUUCAGAUGAGUUCAUAACAUGAAGAGUAAUUGUCAUUUAUAGCUAAAUAGUUUAGAAGAGCAUCAAAAAAGUAAACAUUUUGACUUGACCAAUUUACAUAAAUGGUAAUGUCUAUGUUGGCAUUAGGUUAUCUCUUCCUUGAUCAGCUUUCUACCCUUGGAAAAGUCAUGAGAGUGACCCUACCCCUUCAGUUCUUUCAUAUGCAGAUACUGUACUCUUUUUCCUCCCUCUCUAUUUGGUAGCAGUGCAGACUAGAACUUCAAGCUGUCAAAGGCUCUGGUUACAGACAGUUACCCUAAGUAACACAGCUGUGACCAGCUUGGUUUCCAAAGCGUAAAAAAAAAAAAAAAAAAAAAAAAAAGGUAGUCUCAAAUUUUCUUUGAUGGAGAAUCAGCUAACACAAAGAAGAGAAUUUCCAGCCAGACAUACUGCAUAAAAUAGCAGCACAAAGAGCCUGAUUCUGUAAGCACAAAACACUUCCCAACACACCACUAAAUAUAACAUCAAAGCAAUAAAAAAUUGCAUUGAAGUGCUAAGCACUGAGGCAGCAAAUACCUCCCUCAUGAUCAGUACUCCAGCUCUGUAUCAUCAUUUGACAAAGUCUCAAAACUCAGCACAUGUUAAUGGGUCAUAAAUACCCAGCUGCUCAGGGACAGCUACUUUGCCUUGUGUGCAAGCUGUUUCUACAAAUGUCCACAAAAAUGUAUGAAGGCCUACAAAAAUGCCUGGGAAGUAACAGUGCACAAAGCUAUUUGCCAUCUACACAGAGGACAGAAGGAGGUCAAAUUCAAACCAUCACCAGAGAGAAGCAGUGGAGAAAUGCCUGGCAUUCUAGGGAAAAGGGAAAAGCUCAAUCCAGUCCUGCAAAGAUAAACAAGCAGCAAGAAAAAAUGCAGAAGUGAGGUUAAAGAUCCUGCUGAUCUGCUAAGUGACUAGCAGCAAGGUGGGGAGGGGAGGAAAGAAAAUGAAAAUUUAUCUGGGACUCUUCAGGUUCUCUCCACUAUGAGGAUCACAGCUUUGCACAGAGAGCUCCAGAAGUUAUUGGUUGCUGUCACCUCACAAUGCAUGCUUCAGUAGUAUGCUGGGGUCUUAAAUGCUUUUCUUUCAAAGAUAUCACCCAAAGAUAUACAAAGAAAUGACAACUUUGAUAUUCUUAAAGCAUUCAGAACACAAUAGGACAGAACUGAUAUUGAAAUCUAAUUUUUAAGCAUACUAUCUACAUGCAGUCCUCCAGUUUAGUUUAAGAAUAUUUCAAAGUCAGUGUUAGAGGUGCUGACUCACAGUUUUUUUUUCAUACAAUUGAUAGUGAAUUGUUUUACAUAAAUGUAAUAAUUGACUGGAAAGUAAUUCCUGUCUCCUUACUUUUAUAAAACAAUCUUUACCACUAACAGAGGCUGCUGCAAGUCAUAACUCUAAUAGGAAAGACAUAAAUACUAAUACAUAUAUAAGGCUUUUAAACCCACUGUCACAGAGAGGAAAAAAAACAAUCCAUGAAGAUUCAUGAACAUUUCAUUCUUGUGAAACUACAAAUGUCAGAGUAAGUCAAAAUCAUUUGAAUAUCACAGAAAGUAGUGAAUAUAACUCUUCCACUGUUAACAUCUUUCUGCAUCCUUUAUAAUGUAUCAUGAGGACAUAUCAGCUUUGAAAAAAUUGAAGAACCAUAUUCUUUUUUUCUCCAUUAGAUAAUUCAAGCCUGCUUAUUAAAACCUUGUACUUAAACUCCGUUCAGUAAGGAGCCAGGAGAGAAGAAACUGAGUUAAAAAAUGUCUGAAGUUUGAGAAUUAAAUAUUUGUAAUUAAAAGUUGAAAAAUAAGUCACGUAAAAUUUCCUGAAAACUGGGUCUUUUUUGAAAAACAACCUCUGAGUUUUUCAGCUUAAUCAUCUUCCUCUCAGACUGACUUUCCUAGAAUAUAAAGACCUUGUUCCAAAACAUCAUUUUAUGUCUCUCAUACCAAUGCCUUCUGCAACUUUAGCACUACCAUACCUCAGGUUACAGUAAGAUGGGAUGCAACCAAGGUCAGCCUCUAACUAGGACAACUGUGUUUGAUGAGUCUAAAAUAUCUCUAUAAGUUCACCAAUAAAGUAGUGAAUAAAGGAGAACUAGAUGGCAUUUGGUGAUGAAAGUUGAAUUAAGUUUACCCUUAGCCAUUGCAGCUGGAAAAAAAAAAAAAAUAGAAACAGUAGGCUAUUUGGAGAUGGCAUAACAUGAACAUGGUUAUCCCCACCACAGUUUGUUAUGUCUGAGGUAUGAUAGUCAAUUUAGAUAACUGAGUGACUUAAAAUGACAAAGAUUGGGAGUUUACUCUUUGCCAAAUUAAAGAAUUGUGAAAUUUACUUGACAACUUAUUUGUGAAUGUUUUGGAAAAGGGGACUCUAUUCACUCAUCCCAUAGAAAAAAAAAAGGAUAAAUAAAAUCAAAAGAUUCCUUAGUCAUUCUCAACAUUAUGAAGAAGGCACAGAAAUGACAAUCACUGAAGGCAGCAAGUCAGACAUUUUGAACAGAGGGUUACAAUGACUGGAAUCACAUGUCCUCAGAGAGCAGCACAAGAUACAUGAGGAGCUGACAGCAGAGCACCCUACACAACCUGCAGUAGGUACAGAAGCCUUUAAAUUCUCCUAAGUGUAACUACAAACUAGGUACCAGUAAAGACCUUUAGGUGUCAGAGCAGAUAAGAAGUGCAAAGUGAGACGGCAACAAAUAGUCCUAGUACAUCCAUCUAAAAAGACCUAAAAAACCAAAAACAUUGUAAUUUUCCUGUUGUUGCAUGACAAGAAGAAGUAGUACGUGACCAAAUUUGCUUCUAAGAGUGCAAAUAAAUUAACCUUUUUUAUGGUGAACCCUAGCACAAUAGGUACAUUACCUUCAGUUACUAAACAAAUUGGCAACUCUGGAAUAGUUUUGUCCUCCAAAGCGCUCCCCCACAUUUAAACGUAUCUAUAGAUACAGAUAAAUAUCCUUUAGCUCAUAAAGCACCUCUGUUUAUUCAGUAAGUUCAGUCUGACAUUUCUCAUCUUGCAUUUUGGAGCACAAAAACAAGGCUUAUUCAAGAAUGCUGGUGGGCAUGAAAAAAAUACACCUCCUUGACAUAAAAGCCAAGCUUUUAAUUUCAGCACUCAAGUGAAUUUAUUCAGCUGAGAACCAGGGAAUGCUAAAUACCGUGGCCCUCACAGAUGCUAUUCCUGUAUUAACUGUACUACACUGGAAAUGCAGCUACUGGCAUUAACAGGGACUAGGCUUGCUCAGGCACCAGACACCAUGAAAUCUUAUCAGUUCACUGCUUUAUCUAAGGCAAUUAGCUUUGUUGAGAGGCAAAGUUUAUUAGCUUAAAGUAAUGCUGUGCUUACAACACCAAAUUGCUUCUAAGACUUCACAUGUUACAUCUGCAGAGAACUGAUGAGCUGCAUGAAUAUAAAUCUACUGGGGAAGCACAAUGCUGCAAGAUUUAGGCUGACCUCAGAGGAUACUCACAAUUAUAACUAUCUUCAAAGUAACCACACACCAAGAAUGCAAAGAGGCUGACAACAAGACAAAAAAUGGAGUUGGCUUCACACUAAUGAAAUGACAAGGAGCCACCUGCAGACAGUCUCCACAGGGAAAAAAAAAAAUCUAUUUUUUAAAGUUUUAUUUUUCUGGCAGCAAACUCAUUACAUUCAUAUAUACACAUACAACCCAAUAGGCACAGAUUAAGAUUACUA
rnacentral:lncRNA from 1 species